rnacentral:rRNA from 1 species
AGCAGCCGCGGUAAUUCCAGCUCCAAUAGCGUAUAUUAAAGUUGUUGCAGUUAAAAAGCUCGUAGUUGAAUUUCGGGACUAACAGGUUGGUCGCGCCUUUGGUGUGUACUGGCCUAGUUGGUUUCUCCCUUCUGACGAACCACGAUGUCAUUAAUUUGGUGUCGUGGGAAAUCAGGACUGUUACUUUGAAAAAAUUAGAGUGUUUAAAGCAAGCGCUAGCUUGAAUACAUUAGCAUGGAAUAAUGAAAUAGGACGUUUGACCCUAUUUUGUUGGUUUCUAGGAUCGACGUA